AUUUUCGGGGUCCUGGCGAUGCCACCGGCAUAACUGGGCGGUACUACCGCUUGUCAUCUGUCACUGAGCGAUACUACUGCUCAGUCUAGGCGAUACUACCGCCUAAUUGCGCUCGAAGACUGGGUUCAGGCAGUACCACCGCCUUACAAGGGCGGUACCACCACUAGUAGUAAUAACUGCCGGCAGUACCACUGCCUGACAGGGGC
rnacentral:lncRNA from 1 species